GGGGAAUAUUGGACAAUGGGCGCAAGCCUGAUCCAGCCAUGCCGCGUGGGUGAAGAAGGCCUUCGGGUUGUAAAGCCCUUUUGUUGGGAAAGAAAAGCAGUCGGUUAAUACCCGAUUGUUCUGACGGUACCCAAAGAAUAAGCACCGGCUAACUUCGUGCCAGCAGCCGCGGUAAUACGAAGGGUGCAAGCGUUACUCGGAAUUACUGGGCGUAAAGCGUGCGUAGGUGGUUUGUUAAGUCUGAUGUGAAAGCCCUGGGCUCAACCUGGGAAUUGCAUUGGAUACUGGCAGGCUAGAGUGCGGUAGAGGGUAGUGGAAUUCCCGGUGUAGCAGUGAAAUGCGUAGAGAUCGGGAGGAACAUCCGUGGCGAAGGCGACUACCUGGACCAGCACUGACACUGAGGCACGAAAGCGUGGGGAGCAAAC
rnacentral:rRNA from 1 species